rnacentral:lncRNA from 1 species
ACGCCCAUGGCGCCGACGUUUUGCGACGACUUGGAAGAGGCGGUGCGUCGACAAGUGAGCGAGGAGAAAGAGAAGUGGACUCGCACGGCCGAAGAUGAGGAUCGAGUGCGCUCGCAAGUGAUUUCCGCGGACGAGAAGAGGCGGCGAAGACGCGAUCGAGGCAGUAGAAGCGGCGGCGAUUCGUCGACGCGAUGAUCGAGUUGUAACAAAUGAACAGUAAAUGAAUUCACAGCUGCGUUCGCGCACGCCAAUCGGACCGACUAAAGAAUGUGUGUUAAUCGAACGGGUCGAUGCGAGGAUCGUGCUCGGUCGCGAGCGCCAUCCCGGUGCACAAGCACGACGUGCACAUAACCUUCGCCGUGCCGCUGCACGUCGGACAAAUACAUCUCGUGUUCGACGUCGGAUCGAUCAAUCGCCCCGGGCGGUUGCUCGUCGAGCACUCCGCGCACUGUAAGUACCCACUCCCCUUGCAAUACAUGCAAAUCUUCUUGCGCUGCUCUUUGACGUUUUGAAUUUCGAUGACGAAGAAGGCGGAAAUCGCCCCCACGGCGCCGCCCGUGAACGAAGCCACGAUCGGAUCAACCUGCGCGAGCUGCGCGGGCAAGUGCACGCUAUCUAUGAACUCCGCGUACGACGUCCCGCCGAGCCCGAGUUUCACUUCCGCCAUGGGUGCGAUCAACCCUCCGAAGAGGAGCAAAAAUCCCACCGCCGCGCCCCAAUAAAUCCGAUAAUCCUUCACGCUAUCCUCCGUCAACACCGGGAAUCCCGGGAUCACGGACUCGAACUCCCGCGUCUCCUUCACCUCAUCGUCGUCCAACCCGAUCGUCUUCACGCGCUGCUGCACCCGCAACCGUCGCAACUCCUCCAUCAACAAAAACAAUCGCUGUCGGCGACUCUCGAUGUUCUGCGCGAUCUCCCCCGCCUGCAUGUCCGCGAAAUCCACCACACUGUUCCGCCCCUCGAUGAUGCAAUAAUUCUCCGGCAACGCUUGCGAAUCAAAAUCUCGCGCCUCGCCCUCCGCGUCGUCCUCCUCCGCGUCGUCGUUCGCCGCCGUCGUCGCCGCGCCCUCGCCUUCGCCCUCGCCGAUCGCUCUGCGCGUCCCUCCCGCGCGCGUUCGCGCCCAUUCCGCGCGCGCCGUCCGCGACGCUUUCGCGCGCAUCCGCACUCGCGCGUUCACCGCCCCCGUUCGCGCGCGCAUCGCGCAUCGCGUCGUCGGCGUCGUCGCGCGCAUGGCGCGACGCUUUUCGCCCUUUCGCGUCUUCUCGACGCCGUCGACGCGUCGUCGGGCCGCCGUUCGGCGUCGCGAGGCGGUCGGUCGGCGCGCGCGCUCGCGCGCUCGCGCUCGCGCGUCGCCGCGCGCGUCGGCGUCGGCUCGAGGCGCGCUGUGCGGCGUCGACGCGCGCGCGGGUUAUCCGGAGCGGCCGUCGCCGCUGAACCCUAGCUAGGGUUUAGACGUAUCCAUCGCCGACGCCGUCGCCGCGACACGGCGACGCGCGCCGACCGCCCGACGCGCGCGCGCGACGCCGACGCGCGCGCGACGCUCGCGCCGACCGCCCGCGCGCGCCGACGCGCGCCGACGCGCCGACGCGCCGACGCGACGACGCGAAACGUCGCGAUGACGGCGGCUCGGACGUCGUCGACGUCGGCGCGCGCGACGACGCGCGGGACGGCGACGGCGAGGCGCGGAAGAGCGCGACGCGGCGCGGAAGAGCGACGCGCGAUCGCGCGGCGCGCGAUGACGCGCGAGACGACGACGGGCGGGAGCGUGCGGGAGCGCGCGUCGGCGGCGAGCGCGAGGGUUCGGGACGCGGGCGCGAGCGUCGCGGACCGCGUGAAAUGGUUGAUCGCGCUCGCGCGAACGCGGGGCGGCGACGACGCGUGGCUGGACGAGGAUGGGAGAAAUGCGACGACGCGCGUGAUGGGGUGCGCGUCGGCGAGCUGGAUCGAGGCGGUGGUGGAUGAGGCGAGCGGACGGGUGCGAGCGCGAUGCGCGAGCGAGAGCGACGCGACUCGAGGAUACGGAACGUUGUUGUGCGAGGCGUUGAGCGGUGGGACGGUGGAUGAGUGCUUGGAGCUGGGAGAUGAUUUCGUGGACGCGAUGGAGAUCGGGAUCGGGUCCAAGGUGGAGAAGUCGCGAACGAAUGGGUUUAAGAAUAUGUUAGAGACGGCGAAGAAGCAGUUGCGAACGCUUCGAGCCGACGCCGGAGGGGAUCCGUUUCCGAGCUUGAUCGUCACCGCGGACGAAGUGCGAUCGCGUGGAUCGUUUGCGGCGUCGCAGGCGUCGUAUUUGGAGCCCGAUGCGGGCAAAGUGAAGGCUUUGGUCGAGGCGUUGUCGACGAAGAAGAUCGGCAUCGUGGCGCACUUUUACAUGGAUCCCGAGGUGCAAGGCAUUUUGAUGGCCGCAAAGGCGUCGUAUCCGCACAUCGCCAUCAGCGAUUCGCUCGUCAUGGCGGAUUUAGCGGUGAAGAUGGUCGAGGACGGGUGCGAGACGAUCGGGGUGUUGGGGGUGGAUUUCAUGUCUGAGAACGUUCGCGCCAUCAUCGACGAAGCCGGGCACGCGGACGCCAAGGUGUAUCGCAUGGCGGCGGAAGACAUCGGAUGCUCGCUCGCGGAAGCCGCACAGAGCGAAAGUUACGAUAGCUAUCUCGAAGAUGCGAGUAAGACGAAGAACUCGGUGCACGUGAUUUACAUCAACACUGGUUUGGACACCAAGGCGGCGGCGAAUGCGAAAAUUCCCACCAUCACGUGCACGUCUUCCAACGUCGUGGCGACGGUUUUGCAAGCCGCGGCGCAGAUUCCCGACGUGCACGUAUUUUACGGCCCCGAUACGUACAUGGGCGGGAACUUGGCCGAGCUCUUGCGUCGGAUGACGACGUGGGACGACGAGGACAUCAAGGCGAUGCAUCCGGCGCACGACAGAGAAACCGUCAAGGCGCUCUUGCCUCGUUUGAAGUACUUCAACGACGGCACGUGCAUGGUGCACGACAUGUUCGGCGAAGACGUUUGCAACACCGUGCGCGCGUUUUACGGCGAUGCGUACCAAACCGCGCACUUUGAAGUUCCCGGAGAAAUGUUCAAGCUCGCCAUGGAGGCGAAGGAUCGCGGGUUGGGCGUCGUCGGCUCGACGCAAAACAUCUUGGAUUACACGUGCGCGCGCGUGGACGAAGCCAUCGAGCGCGCGCUUCCCGAAGGCGAACGUUUGCGAUUCGUGCUCGGCACCGAGACUGGGAUGGUGACGUCCAUCGUGCGCGCGGUGCAGGCGCGUCUUCGCGCGGCGCGCGACGCGGGCGUUCGCGGCGUCGAAGCCGAAAUCGUCUUCCCAGUUUCCGCCGACGCCAUCACCGCCACGGGCGACGCGGAGAUCCCUGUCGUGCCCGGCGUCGUCGCGGGCGAAGGGUGCUCGCUCGACGGCGGGUGCGCGUCUUGUCCGUACAUGAAGAUGAACUCGUACGACGCGUUGAUGAAGAUGUGCGACAAAAUCGGCUCCGCCGCCGGCGAAGCCGUGCUCGCCGCGCAGGAGCCGCGCAAAUACGAAAGCGCGGACGGCGCGGGUCCAUCCAUCGCAUCGCAAGGAUGCGUUCCGAUCUUACACAUGCGGCAUUUCCAAAAGAACAAGACGUUUAGCGACGCGUUGGUCGAGGACAUCACCACUCGUUAAUCCUUCGUCUCCGCGCGCGCGGCGAAUGGAAUCAAACGGAAUCAAAACAGUUGUCGAGAGUUGCAAUACUACAAUAAAGUGAUAGCACCACCCAUCGCCGUCGCGCACUUCCUACUCCUGCGCCCCCUUGACGCCGCGCGUGAUGGGAUCCUUCGCCACGCUCAAAAGCUCCAAGUCGAGCGUCACCGUCCCGUUCGCCGGGAUCUCCAUGACCUCGUUCGGCCCGUACGCGUACUCCGGCGGCACGAUCAUCCGUCGCACCGUCCCGACGCCCAUGCCCUUGAUCCCCUCGUUAAACGCCUGUAUGAACGGUCCUCCCGGCUCUCCCGCGGGUUGCCCGACGGUGAAUCCGAUCGGCGUCCCUCCCGUGACGCCCGCGCCCUGCCUCGACGUCCCCACCGUCACCGACCGAAACUUCAAGUCGUAGUGCACCGCCACGCGCGCCCCCUUCGGCACGCCCCCCGUCGCGCCGCUCGCGCCCUGUAAAUCGUAGUACAGUAUCGGCGGGUUCGUUCCCGGGAUCUGCGUCGCGUCGCGCGUCGUCAGUCUCGCCGUCGUCGUCGCGUUCGUUCGCGGCGUUCGUCGUCGUCGUCGUCUCGCGCACCGGCUGAAAGUUCUCGAUCGGCACCCCUCCCGUGACGCCUCCCGAGAGUUUCGCGCGCGCCGCGCCCGGCGUCGCGACGAGCGCCAGCGCGGCGCCGACGAGCGCGUCGCGGCGUCGCGCGACGUCGCUCGAUGCCGACGCGGACGCGCGCGGCCGCGUCUUCAUCGCGCGUUCGCGUCGUCCUCGCGUCGCGCCGACGCGCGCGGGCGCGACGGCGCGUCGACAGCGCAUGGCGUUCGCGCGCGCGCGCGCGCGGGGUCGCGGAUCGGCGCGGUGGGACGCCCUCGCGUCGAGGAAUGGCGACGAUCGACGCGUCGAGCGCGGCGUCGAGCGCGCGCGAGCGGAAGAAACGCGCGCGACGCGUCGAAGGCGCGGCGAUGGACGCGAUGCGCGCGCGUGACAUCGCUAAGAGGUGGCUAAUUCGGGCGCGUCGCGGUCGUCGCGGUCGUCGUCGUCGCCGGGGCGAACGCGCUUGUUGGACGCGGGCUCGACGGCGAGAUUUUCGGCGGAGGAAGAGCGGCGCGCGCUGUUGAUCGUCCCGCGCUCGCGACGGAGCUUUCGACGCAAUUCAUCGUAACGCGCGUGAUCCGACUUGCUCACCGAGGGUUGCACCUUCGUGAACGCCUCUUCGAAGUGCUUCGUCGUCACCGUCGGCGUCGAUUCGAGCGUCAUCGAUUUCAACGCCGCCACGCACGCUUCGCGCACGAGCGCCGCCAAGUCGGCGCCGCUGAAGCCUUCGCACGAUCGACCGAGCGCGAUUUGAUCCACGCGUACGUCUGGUGCGAUGGGCGUUCGGCGCGUGAGCGUCUUCAAGAUGGCGACUCGGCCGUCCGGCGGCGGCAACGGAACGUACAAGAGCUUGUCCAAGCGCCCGGGACGCAGCAUCGCUGGAUCGAUCAUGUCGGGUCGGUUCGUCGCCGCGAUCAAGAACGUCGCGUUUCGCGCUUCGAGACCGUCCAUCUCGGUGAGAAGUUGGUUCACGACGCGCUCGGCUGAGGUGUUGUCGCCGCCGCUUCCGCGACGCGGCGCCAGAGAAUCCAUCUCGUCAAAGAAUAACACGCACGGGCUCGCACUUCGUGCGCGCUGGAACAGCGUCCGCACCGCGCGCUCGCUCUCACCGACGUACUUAUUUAAUAACUCUGGACCUUUGAUGGAUAUGAAAUUCGCCAUCGCCUCGUUCGCCGUCGCCUUGGCGACGAGCGUUUUGCCGCACCCCGGUGGGCCGUAGAGCAAGACGCCCGUAGAGAUGUUCAAACCCAUCGCUUGGAAUCGCUCGGGAUGAGCGAUGGGCUCAGCAAUGGAGAACUUCAACUCUUCGCGAAUUUCUGUGAGCGAGCCAACGUCGUCCCAAGUCACGUUCGGCGUCGUGGUGAAACCUUCGCGUUGCGCCGACGGUUGCACGCGCGUGAGCGCGAGGGAGAAAUCUUCCAUGGUGAUUGCUAGAUCCUCGAGUUCGUCCUCGGUGAGCGGACGCGGAUCCGCUAAGCGACCAGUCGCGAGACGAGUGUCCCCCCCCAGUGCGGGCGCGACACCCUCGUCCAUCGUCACAUCCGCGCUCGCCCUUUCCUCGUCCUCGAGCUUUUUAAAGAUGCGCGUGACCGCCGACGCGGCGGCUUCCUUGGCCAACGCCGAUAAAUCCGCGCCGACAUAGCCGGGCGUUUUCUUUGCGAUUUCGCGCAAGUCUAAAUCUCCAUUCAAGCGAAGCUUGGUCGCCUGCACUCGCAAAAUGCGCUCUCGCGCGGCUUCGUCUGGAAUGCCGAGCAUGAUUUCGCGAUCAAAGCGUCCGGCGCGACGAAGCGCGGCGUCCAUACCGUCCGGUCUAUUCGUGGCGCCGAUGACGGUGACGUGGCGACGACACCGCGCUAGUCGAUCCACCUCGUCCGUGCCAUCGAUUGUUGAUUGAAGAUCGUCCAUGGACGCUAACAGCUGGGCGACAAUUCGACGUUCCAUCUCUCGCUGCGCGCUCUCGCGCUUCGGGACGAUUGCGUCGAUCUCGUCGAUGAAAAUCAGCGACGGCGCGUGCGCGGCGGCGGACUGGAACAACUCACGUAUCUUCGCUUCAGACUCGCCACUCAUUCCACUCACAAUCUCCGUGGCCGCUAUGGAGAAGAAGGGCACUUUCGCCUCUUGCGCGAUGGCGUGCGCCAACGUCGUCUUGCCGCAACCCGGCGGGCCGUGAAGCAACACCCCGCGCGGCGGAUCGACCCCGAGCCAUGCGUACAACUCGGGAUGCAUCAAAGGGCACAGUAUGAGCUCCUUGAUGUCCUUCAGCGAGUCCUCGAUCCCGCCUAAAUCCGACAACUUCACCGAGCGAGGCGACGUCAUUUGCGCAAACGCCUUCGCGCUCGUCGUUCGUCCAAACUCAUCCUCAUCCAAACUCUCACUGUCGCUGUCUCGGUCACCCUUCCGCUUGCGACGAUGCCCCUUACCUUUUUUCCCUCGCUUCUUAUCCUUGCUUUUCUCCAGGCGUUCGAUUUUCAUUCCGCGCUCGUUCAGCUUCACCUCGUGACCGCGCGACUUCGCCUCCGCCACCGCCCGCACCGCGCGUUCGUGCGCUGACUCUUCCUCCUUCACCGCCUUAGACCCGGACGCGCUCGCUUUCGCCUCCGCUUCCAACUUCAACGCCCGCUGCGCGGCCGCCGCGACGACCUCCGGCGCCGCGAACGCCGCCGUCGUCGCCGCCUCGUCGCCGCCGUCCAUCCCGUUCUCAUCCCUCUCGAUCGCCCCAUUCUCGUCGCUCGUCCCGUCCGAGCUCGUCGCUUCACUCGUGCUCGUCUCGGAAUCAUCGCUAUCUUCGUGAUCGCUCGAGCCUUCGCCGUCCAUUCGACUAAAUUUCUCGUCGUCGCCGUUCCCGUCGUCGCCGUUCCCGUCGUCGCACCGCCCGCGCGCGCGCGCCUCCGCCAUCGCGCGCUCCACCGCCUUACGAAACGGAUUGACGGGUUUGCGCGCGUACUGCCUGUACUGCGAGCGCAGGUACUGCGCGCACGCGUCGACGUCGCGCAAUGCGUUGAGGCCGCCGCCGGCGCUCGACCGCGCGAACGCCUCGACGCGCGGCAGCAACAGCGGGUCGCUCGUGACGUACGACGACGACACCCCACCGCGGAGCUUCGCGGGGCGCGCGUUGGGCAUGGCGCGCGCGGACGAGGCGGCGAGGCGGGCAAUGGGGCGCGAGGGUGAUGAUUCGGCAAAAAUCUCGAGGCGGCGACGCGAGGCGAGCUAGAAUGUGUCGAUGUCAGAAUUUCAAGAAAGAAUAUCACGCUUCGCUGACGUUGCCGAGCAAGCUCAUGCCGGACCUGUCUUCGAUUUCCUCGAACCCGAUUCCUCGCGGCGGGUUGGGGGGGAUCUCGCCGAGCAAGUCGCGGCGGUCGAGGAUGAUUUCCAAAUCUUUGUCGGAGAUGUUGGCGGACUGCGGUGAAUCCUCGUCGUUGGCGCCGGUUUCGCCCUUGAGGAGAGCCAUGAGUUCGUCAGCGCCGAAAGCGCGACCGUCGUCGUUUUUCUCUUGUUUGAACCCGCCGUUGGUGACGACGAGCUUCUCGAGAGCGAGCUUGGAGGCGGCUUUUUUGAGCAUUUUUCCUUCGACGGAUUUCGCCGUGGCCAAGCGGUAGACGUGCACGGGCUUGGUUUGACCGAUUCUGUGCACGCGAUCCAUCGCUUGCAAAUCUUGAUGCGGGUUCCAAUCGCUGUCGUAAAUGAUAACGGUGUCACCGCCCGUGAGGUUGAUGCCUAAUCCUCCCGCGCGGGUCGAGAGCAAAAAGAUGCCGUACUUCGGGUCUUCGUUGAAUCGAGCGAUGAACUCGCGACGGUCGUCUUGUUUCACCGAGCCGUCGAUUCUGCACACCGGUUCGCCGCGCUGUUGGAAAAAUGAUUCGAGCAAGUCGAGCAUGCGCGUCAUCUGAGAAAAGAUCAACACCUUGUGUCCGCGCGCGCGCAGGCGCGUCAUCAACCUAUCGAGGAGCUGCAUCUUCCCGCACUGUUCCACGAGUUCGUCCGCGGAGGGGAACAUGAUGGAUCCGUCCAGACCGCCGGUGAUCAAAUCCGGGUGGUUGCAGUUUUUCCGCAGUUGCAUGAGCAUGUUGUUCACAGCGGUGUGACCGACGGGAAUGUGGCUGUUGCCCGCGAAUUUCGUCAGCAUCUCGGUGAUGGUUUUGUUCACCAACGCGUCGUUGAACUCUUUUUGCUUUGGAACCAUUUGCGCGUACAAAAGAAUCUCCUUCUUGCGCGGAAGCGAAAGCUCGACGUCGCCCUUUAAUCGGCGCAACAAAAAUGGUCGCAAAAUACCGUGCAACUUGCUCACGACGCGCGCGCGAUGCUCUUGUUCAUUCUUAUCGACCACCUCCUGCUCUUGCGAUUCGUCGUUCCCGAUGUUGUCGGCAAAGUCAAACCAAGAUUGGAACUGCGACAGCGAACUGAAGACGUCUGGGAGCAAAAAGUGCAAAAGCGACCAAAGCUCGGGCAAGUUGUUCUGGAGCGGCGUGCCGGUGAGCAACAACUUGUUCGCGGUGGGAAUGUACUUGAGCUCGCGAAUGAGCUUGCAGUCAAAGUUUUUCAAUCUGUGACCUUCGUCCACGACCAAGUACUUGAAGUUGUACUUGGCCAAAAACUUGCGAUCGGCCAUGACGACUUCGUACGAGGUGACGAUGACGGGGAAAUCGGGUUUGAUCGGCGUCGACGUCGGCAAGAAUUCGAUUCGCUUCUCCGCGCGUUCUUGCCUCGUGCCGUGGUACAAAAGCACGGGAAUCGACGGCGUCCAACGUUGAAACUCGCUCACCCAAUUGCUCAGCGUCGAUAACGGACCGAUGACGAGAUACGGUCCCAACACGCCCUUCGAUCGCAAGUGCGAUAAAAAACCAAUCGUCUGCACCGUCUUCCCGAGACCCAUCUGGUCCGCCAAGAUUCCGUUCAAGCCGUUUUGAUAUAAAGAAAUCAUCCAAUUCACCCCCUUGAGCUGAUAAUCCCGCAUCGAACCGCCCUCCAUGAGCGGCAGCAUCUUUCUCGUCGCCUCCAACUCCUCGCUCUCGCUCAUCUUUUUCCGCUUCUUCGUCGCCUUCGCCUUGUCCCCAUCCUUCCCGUGCUCGUCCUCCAGCGUGUCCAUCUGCUCGCUCAAAAACUGCGAAUAAAUCGUCGUCUGAUCCAGCAGCGCGUCCAACUGUUUAAACUUUUUAUCGUCCAACUUCGUCGUCCCGCUCGCCGCCGCGCUCGCGUCCUCGCUCGCGCCCUUCCCGCCGCCCUUCCCGCUCGGCGACGCCACGCGCGCCUUCUGCAGCUCCGCCUCCGCCUCGAUCGCGUGCGCCUCGAUCCCCGUCAGCGCCGACGCCGUCAGAUCAUCGUACGAUUCCUCCGCGUCCGCGUUCACUCGCACCAGCCCCCCCCCGGCGCCGUCGUCGUCGUCGCCGUCCCGUUCCGUCGUCGUCAUCAUCUUUUCCCGCGCAUCUCCCCCCGCGUCGUCGUCCUCGCGCGCGCUCUUCGCCGCGCCUUCGCCCGCGAUCGGCGACGACGCCUUGCGUCGCUUCGCCCCGUUCGGCGCCAUCGUCGCGCCGUCGCGUCGCGUCGCGUCGCGUCGCGGCGUCGCGCGCGCGUUUGACGUCGACAGCCGACGUCGAUCGUUCGAAACGCGCGCGCGCCCGUAAUGUUCGCGCCUUUGGAUCGUCGCGGCGGUCGCGGUCGCGGGCACGAAAACGCGUAUUGUAUGCGUUUUUCGUGCAUUGUUGUCGAUGUUUGUACUUUUUUUAUCCGACUGUCCGACUGUCCGAACGAUGAUUCAAAAUCCACCGGCCCCGCGCGUCAGAGGUCGUCGGAUCGAUCGAACGCGCGCGCGCGCGCGUCGAGCGAACGAGCGCGCGCGUCGCGGACGCGGACGAUGUCGACGAUGUCGAUGAUGCCGAUCGCGUCGACGUCGGCGCGAACGACGCGAACGCGCGCGCGCGCGCCGAGAACGACGCAGACGCGGGCGCCGCGGAUGAAGAUGGGGCGGGCGACGCGAGCGACGACGCGGACGCGGGCGAUCGCGAACGAGGCGCAGACGAGCGAGGAGUUGAACUUUUGGGGGAAGAUGCGACAGGCGUAUCGAAUCUUUUUCCCGCCGAGCGCGGAGGAGAACGCGCGGAACGAGGCGAAGAAGCGCCUGCGAAUGAUUCUCGUCGCCGAUCGGUGCACGAUGAGCGAGAGCUCGAUGGACGAGAUGAAGGCGAAGAUAAUGACCGUGGUCGGGGAAUUCGUGGACGUGGACGAUUCGCAGGAGGUGGACGUGAGCAUGAACACGGAUGAGGAGUUGGGGACGAUGUACGCGGUGUCGAUUCCGGUGAAGCGCGUCAAGGCGGAGUACGACGCGGAGAACGACGCGUACAUGUUGGGGGCGCAGUUCGUGUACGACGACGAGAACGUGUGGGACGACGAAUGAUUAAUUUUACUCGCGCAUCGAGCGACGGGCGACGGACGGCGCGCGCGCGACGCGCGUCGAUCGAGGCGACCGCGACCAUUGUAAGCAAAUCAAACGACAGACGGACCGCGUCACUUCGCCUCGCGAUGUCCGACGCGCGCGCGGCGUCGGGGCUCGACCCCAAAACGUGGGCCGGCGCCUUCGACUGCGCGCGGUGCGCGCGCAAGCGCCUGCCCGCGAUCGAAUUCAGCAAAAAGGCGCUGCUCAGGAUGCGCGAGCGCGGCGACGAUGCCGGGACGUGCAAGGCGUGCGUCGACGCCGAGGCCGCGAUCGAGCGCGCGCGCGCGAGGGAGAGCGCGAGCGCCGUCGACGACGACGCGGACGCGACGUGCGCGGCGUGCGGGGCGACGAAACCGGCGAGCGCGUUCUCGAAGACGCAGCGGCGCGGCGCGGCGCCGCGGUGCGGCGAGUGCGUCGACGCCGCGGCGAGGGACGACGCGGCGCGCGGCGCCGCGGCGCUGGCGAAAUCGUUGGAAUCGGCGAGGGUCGACGCCGCGAGGGUCGGGGCGACGCUGGGGGAUCACGUGCGAGAGACGAAUCUGGACGCGGAGGCGGUGACGGGGUUGCGGGCGAAGUUCGUCGGCGCGCGGGGACGCGGACGCGGGCGAGGACGGUCGGCGAAUCCGAACUCCAUGCUCGGCCGAGGGGGGCGGAAGUGAGCGCGACGCGAUGAUAGUGACUAGCUAGCUCUAUUCUAGAAGAUUGCAACGUUGUUCGUUUUGCUAAUGAUUGCGCGCGGGCUAUUCGUCUCGCGCCCAGACGUCGCUGUAGACUCCGGGACGCGAGCUCUUCGGCGGAUUGGCGCGACGACGAAUGUACGGCCCGCUCGAUCUGAACCGACCGGUGCCGUCGUCGGGGAGCGCUAAAGCGACGUCACCGAUGAGCGGGGUCGCAGCCUCGGUCCUGUCGGUGCGACGUCGAUUGAAUGAAAUGGUUGAAUCGUCGUCGUCGUUGACGCUGUACGAAAACGCCUUGACGGGCUUGUGCGUCGCCGUGCCGAAUUCGUCGGCAUGUGUGAUGUACAAGUCUUCAUCGAACGCCAAAAGAUCGACGUCUUCGUCUUCGUCGUCGCCGUCUAUGAUGCCGUAAUCAUCGACGUCCCGGUUGAACGCGCGACGAAGCGUGCACACGCUCGCCGCGACGAACGUGAUCAACACGACGACGGAAAAAGACAGGAAACGCCAGACAUCCGCGUUGACCUGCGCCGAGGCGCGCUUGUACACUCGAACGUAGUCGACGUAAUGAAACAUGUCAUCGUCGCACUGAUUGAGCGCCGCAGGCAUGCCGAACGGCGACACCGCGGUGUUCAGGAUGAGAUAAAACGGCCAUCGCGGAAUGAUGGGCACAUUAAAGCGCGUCAAGUGAUGCACGGGAUGACCGUCGACGGUGAACGUCAAGCUAUCCUUCGACCACUCCACCGCAUACGUGUGGAAAUCCGCGCUGAAAUCGAUCGCGGGGUCCAUCAUGGGCGGGUACGCGCUUCGCGAGAAGCCUUCGGCGCCGCACUCCGCCUUUGGGGCGAAAUGAUAUCCCGAUUCCACCGUUCCCGCACGCGUCCCGGGCCCGCCCAAACCUCUGCCGUACGACUGCAUGAUGUCAAUUUGCCCGCCAAGCGGCCAGCACGCGCGCUUCGGCACGCUCUUCUCGGGGUCAGGUAACAUCCAGUGCUGCGGCCAAACGCCCGGACACUUGGACUCGGGAAUCUUCGCGCGAAUCUCAACUCGCCCGUACGUUUGCGUGAACGCCUCUUUCGUGUCCACCCAGCACGACAGGAACGGAUACUGAUCACCGCGACCACGAUGACCCACGGCACCUCCGUGUGGCGUCGCGGCAGUGCGCACGCCUCGCUGACGCCGCGUCCCGAUGACGAGCGCGCCGUCGACGACUUUACACAUCUCGGGAACGUAAAACUGUUGCUGUCCGCCGUGUCGCUCUAAACCUGGCGCGCUCUCGUUCACCUUCGGUCGCCAUUUCGAUAAAUCUAACGCAUCACCGUCGAACUCGUCGCUGAACGUCAACUCCCAUCCCGGCUGUCUCGCGUCCUUCGACGAGGCGCCCUUCGUCGACCCCGGCACGCUUUGCGGAAACCCACGUCGAGGGGUCGCGCCCGCGCGCCGCCGCGCCGCCGCGCGCUCUUUUAUCGCCGCCGCGUUCGCUGGCGGUCGAGUCGGCAUCGUUCUCGCCGCCGACGGCGCGUCUUCUUCCCCUCCCGUCGCGCCGUCGCCCGCGCCGGCGAGCGCGUCUCUCGCGCGACGCAGCGCCUCGUCUGGAUCCUCCAACGCCCCCAGCGCCGCCUCAUCGCGUUCUCUGCGCAUUCGCGCCCGUCUAAUUUUCAUCAUCUGUCGCUUCGUCGGCGCCCUCGCGCCCAACCGCGCCGUCGAACCGCCCGCGUCGUCUUCGUCCUCCUCCUCGUCCUCGUACGCCUCCUCGUCCUCGUCCUCGUCCGCCCCGUACAUCUCGUCCGGAUCGUCCGGCGCCUCGUCCUCGACGAUCCUGCGCAUCAACGCGUCGUCCAUCGUCCCGAACCGCGUCCCCGCGCUCGCGUCGACGUACCCCGGCGCGUCGCCCGCGUCGUCCCGCGCGUUGGGUGUUGCGUCUCGCGUCGUCCCGUCCCCGCCCGCGCCUUCGCCCGUCGCGCGUCCCGAUCGCGCCCUCGCGAGCGUCGCGAGCGUCACCGCGCACAUCGCCGCCCGCGCGCGACGCGACGUCGCGCCGCGCGUCGCGCGCCGCGAUCGGCGCCGCGUCGAAUGCGCGGCGUCCAUCGCCUCGCGCGCGUCGUCCCGCGUCGACGUCGUCGCCGUCGGUCGCCGCGCGCCGCCGCGCGCGUCGCCGCCGUCGCGCGUCACGCGCGCGACGUCGCCGUGUGUCGCGCGCCGCGCCGCGCGACCGACGACCGACGCCGCGCGCGGGAUGUUGGCGCCGCGCAUAAAACCAAUCGCGCGAUUCGUUCGCAUCGCGCGCGCGUUUUACCCCAUCAUCGCGCGUUCGCGUUCGCCGACCCCGCGACGCGCGUAAAUUCCGAGAUGGGCGUCGCGAGGCGCGGAAUGCGCGAUCACCGAUCGACGGCGUCGAUGACCGAUCGUGGGAAUCGCGGUUACGGGCGCGACGCGCGAUCGCGGAAUUCACGCGCGCGCCGGCGCGAACCCCGCGGGGCGACCGGCGGCACAUCGUCGCGCGUCGCGGAGCACUCAGGACGCUCUUAAGAAGGCAACGCGCGAGGAUAAAAUCAUGGCUCCGAAGCAAGGAUCGAAGAAGGCGGCCGAGGGCAUCAACGCGCGACUGCAGAUCGUCAUGCGAUCGGGGCGGUACACGCUCGGGUACAAGCAGUGCCUGAAGACGCUGCGCAAGGGACAGUCGAAGCUCGUGCUGAUCUCGAACAACUGCCCGGCGCUGCGCAAGAGCGAGAUCGAGUACUACGCGAUGUUGGCGAAGACCGGGGUGCAUCACUACGCCGGAAGUGCGUGCGCGAGGCGACGCGAUUCGACGCGAUGCGACGCGCGAGGACGGGGGGGUGGAAAACCCUAAAGACGGCGACGACGCGCGAGAGACUGACGAAGACGACGAACGCGUCGCGUGAACAGAUAACGUCGAUCUCGGCACGGCGUGCGGUCGAUACUACCGCGUGUCUUGCAUGUCGAUCACCGAUCCGGGCGACUCCGACAUCGUCAAGGCGGUGCCGGAGGAGUAAACGCGCGAAGCCGUUCGGCGACGCGCGGGCGAUUCUUCGGACGAUGAUUGGUUCGGGCGAUCGCGACGCGAUCGACGUCGCGAGUUUGCUUGUAAUAGAUCAUCGACUCGCUUCGAGAGUUAUUUUAAAUCGGUCAAACGUCGCGGGUGGUGAUGAAACUCUGUAUCUGGUCUUCUUUCCACUGAGGAGACGUCGUCUCGGCGACGUCAUGAAGAGAAUGUCCGCAUACCUUCUGAACCCAACUCUCUUUUGCGUCGCUCGUUCCUCGUUCGCUCGUUCGCUCGUUCGCUCGUUCGCUCGCGAUAGAAAUCUAGAUUACAAAAUGAUGAUCAACGUUCGACUACGCGGCGGCGGCGGCGGCGGCGCGCGCUGCCUCCCACUCGUCCACGCACUCGACGAGCAAACGAUUGACGAGCUCGGGGGCCUCGUCUUGCGGGCAGUGUCCGACGCCCGGGAGCGGGAUGAACUUAUCGGCGUACGACGCGUAUAGUUUCCGCCCUUGGUCGAUGUUCUCCCACGGAUCUUUAUCGCCCCAGAACAUGCGCACCGGGACGUCGCAUCGAGGCAACAACUCCUCGGGCAGCGGACCGCCGCUGUACGAGAUGAAAUCCAAAAACACCUCCGCCGCGCCUUCGCGCAAUCCCGGACUGAGAAUCGCCUCCACGAGCUCAUCCGUGACUUGCGCGGAGUCUCCGUACGCUUCGCACAAGAUAUUCUUCACCGUCCGCGCCUUGGCCACCGAACCGAAGAAGGACUUUCCCACGCUCGUCUCUCGAAGCGUUCGCUGCAGCGCCUUCACGAACGGUCGAAUGAUCGCCGGCUGCUUGCUCACGUGCAAUCCACGCAGGCUGAUAUUCAUCAGCACCACCCCGCGCACCUUCGUCGGCGCGUCCACGGCGGCUUGCAACCCCGCGACGCCGCCCACCGAGUUGCACGCCACGUACGCCGGCGUCCCCACCACCUCGUCCAAAAAAUCCUCAAUCUGCUUUCCCCACGUCUCGAAGCAGUAUAUCUCGUUCUGUUCUCGCAGCAUCGGAUUCGGUUUAUCGCUGUACCCGUACCCGAGCAGAUCGAUCGCGUACACGCGCUUGCCAGUCGCCGCCAGCGCGUUUACGUUUCUUCUCCAGUGGUCCGCGUUCCCGCCGAAUCCGUGCACCAGCACCACCGCCGGUCCGUCGCCGUCGCCGACCGCCUCCGUGUACCGUAUCGCGUGCGUCUCGUUCGUGCGCGGCGCGCGCCAGCGCCAGUAGCGCUCGUCCACGCCGUAGCGCUGCGCGCGCGUCGCCGGCGUCGUCGUCCCGGUCGACGUCAUCGCGACGCGCGCGCGCCGUCUCGCGUCGCCGCGCGCGCGCCGCGGCGCGCGACGCGCCGGCGAGCGACGCGCGACGUCGCGGAGCGUCGACGGCGGCGCGCGCGGCGCGGCGCCGAGCGUCAUCGCGCGCGCGGCCGGCCGAGACGCGUCAGAGUGACGCGCGAUGGGACGCGAGCGCGUCGCCGCGUCGAGCGCGUCCGCGGCGCCCGCGAGCGCGGAGCGCGCGCGACGCGCGCUCGCGGACGCGCCCGCGGCGUCCGCGCUCUCGGGGUGCGUCGACCGCGCGAGCGACGCGAGGGCGACGCGCGCGAACGAAGGCGCGCGCGAACGACGACUGACGACGCGACGACGCGCGACGACGACGCGACGCAGGUUCGGGUUCGGUGGAUACGCCGGACAGGUGUCCCUGACGGCGCGCGCGGCGAGCGACGCGAGCGCGGACGCGGGAGAGGUGGACGAGGACGCGGCGCGCGCGCUGCGGCGAUGCGCGCAAAAGUCGUCGACGGCGACGAAGGCGAAGGCGCUGCGAGAACUCCGCGACGCGCUGUUCGUCGACGCCGCGGACGAAGAUUCGAUGGAGGAAGUGGCGAAAAAGGUGAAAACGGUCGCGGGCGUGCUCGGGGUGUCGCGGGCGUGGGCGAGGGCGUACGAUAAAUUGGCGGGCGACGGCGACGCGGGAUGUCGACGCGAGGCGGCGGCGUUGAACGGAGCGAUCGCGGUGGCGGCGGGGAAGGGACUGGGGAAGAUUUUGAAGAGCACGCCGAUCAUGUGCGCGUGGGUGCGGGGGAUGUGCGAUCCAAGCGCGGAGGUGCGAGAGAUGGCGAUGGUGGCGUUUGAGAAGACGUUUUCGACCGAUGCGCGACGCGCGGGGGCGUUGGCGCUCGCGCACGAAGUGAUUUUAGACGAUUUGAUCGAGGCUUUGAAACGGCGCGGGCCGCAGGAUAUGAUCUUUAAGGAAGGCUCAGAGGCUGAGCAGUACGCGCGUUUCGAGUUGAGCGCGCGCGCGGCUCUCAGGGCGGUGACGUUUACGUGUGAGCGAUUGAGCGCGUUUGAGGGAGACGAGAGCGACGCCGCGGCGAGCAAGUUUAGUUAUUUGCUCGAUGAGUUGGCGACGUUAAAGACGCAAAUUCGAGGUGAAUACAUGGUCAUACGCCGAGAUGCGUACGCGACGUUGGCGGCGAUUUGUAAGCGCGCGGUCGAUGACGAAAUCACCCCGGCGUGGCGAGACGCGCUUCGAGGCCAAGUGCCUAAAAUUGCCUCGACGAGCUUCGCUCUGAUUUCGUCCGAGACCGAGCCAGGAGCGAUGCGUGAUAUGUGGGAGCUCAUACUCGGUAUCGCCACUUCGCACCCCGACGCUUGGGGCGCUAUAGAUGUCGAAAAAACCUUCAUGUCUGGCUUGCGCAAGCACUUCAAACGCGGGAGCUACGGCGCCGCGAGUGUUUCGUCGCCGUCGCUCCUUCCGCUUCUCGCGCACUUGCCCCCGAAAGCGCUUAUCGAGCGCGACGCCGAUGGUCGCGCCAUGUCGGGAUUAGUGCGCGUCAUGGACGCCGUUUUUGCGGGGUGGUGUUUCUUGAGUUCGAGCGCCGUUCGCUCAAACGAGGCGCGCGAUACGCUGCCGGCGAUGCGCGAAGGCGUUUUAUACGGCGUUCUGAAGCUCGCCCCGCUCACCGAUCACGCGGAAGAGUGCGCCACGCACGUCUUGGUCGAUCACGUGGUCGAUGUGUGGAUGCGAGAGUUUUUAGCGCGCGGUAACGGCGCCGCGCUCGAUUUGAUGUGCGACGUGCUCAACGUGCUGAGCACAAAGCCGCACGCGAAGACCGCCGUCGUGGAGGCGUGGGCGAAAUUAGGAGACAUCACAGAAGCGGCGUUGGACGACCCCGAAAAAGGCGAACACGCAAAUGCGAUGUACGCUCGACUGUUUGCAUCGGGGAAAUUCGCGUCGUCGUCGCAGGCUACGGCGCCAUUCGCGAAGGCUGUUUUCGCGCAAGCAGUGGAUGCGCCGUCGAAGCAAACCUUCGAGCGAUUGGCGACCUUGGUCGAGAGUCUAGGCGUUGAGCCAUUCGACGGUGCGCAACGUUUGAUGGACUUCGCACUCGCGGACAACGCGCCACAAGGUUCGGGCGCGGUCGUCGCUGCGGUGUUGAAGCACGACGCGAGCUGGUGGAGCGCGGUGCUGGAUGACGCGAACGCGGCGGAUGAAUUGGAGUCGUCUUCGCGCGUGCGAGUCGUAACGGAAGCAAUCGCCGCCACGAAAUCGUUCGGUGAACUCAAAUGCCCGGCGCUCGAUGAUCUCGUUCGUCGAUGCGCGAAGCGAUCGAGUGAUGCUUCGUGCUCGCAACUGUUAAUCGCCAUCUCGCAGUUUUUUGAACCGGUUUCCGCCGACGUCGCAUCCGACGUCUUUGAAAGUCUCGCUUCGAGCGACCUCGGCGACGGCGCGUCGAACGCGCGUAAAGCGCUGCGCGAGUGGAUACUGAUACCGCCUAAAGAAGCACUGAGUAUUCCGUGGUCAAAUGCCGUCGGUGCACUCUUCGCACACGUGCUCUUGGAAAGUCAGCACACCGUGAAGUGCGUGAUUCACGAAGCCGAGAGCGAGGGUGAAAGCGAGGACGAGGUGGAAUACGACGAGACGAAAGUCGGAGAAGUGCAACGCGAUUGGAAAGCUUUCGAGUGCGACGCAGAGAGUAAUCCAGUACUGUCACCCGCGCUUCAGGCCGCGUUCACAACCGCCAUCGCACGCACCGCCGCGGCGACGGCGGCGACGCAACACCCAGGUGAAUCCGAUUUGGUUUUGAGAUUGUGGGCGCAGAUGACCGCGCGAGCGCUUCGAGCGUUCCACGUCGACGAUGAGACGUUUGCAAAAUGCAUCGUCGACGAAAUGGAAAAUAACGUGGACGACGAUGUGACUUUUCACUGGCUGAACGCCGUCGCGCGCGUUCUCGAUUGGAGCUCGUUGUUGCGCGCGAUGGAUGCAGACAGGCGAAAAGAAUUCACGGUCGACGCGUUAGCGCUGGCGCCGAGUGUCAAUAAAGCGUUCGCGAUUGCGCUGUGCGGUGAUGCUGCGAUGCAAACGCAAAUAUUCGUCUCGCUCGUCAACGCGGUGUUGGAGGCGUCGCCAGAUGAUGAAUCUGCCGAAGACGCGUUGCUCAAUUUUUCGCGUCGCGCUCGCGCGCUCGACGAGGCUUGGAUCGACAAUCACGCCGAUGUCGUGCGCGAGUUCCUCGACGCGUCAAGCGCGAAGCGCGAUACGUGUUCAAAUCGUUUGACGCGAGUCAUACCGUGGAUAUUACCCUCUGACAUGUCUGGGGGCGCGCACGCCGAGCGUUUCAUCGCUGAGCUCACGCGCGAGGUGAUUGCGGAUAUCGAAAACCGUCGCCGACGAUUGGAUGGCGCUAAGAUUCGACUCGUCGCCGCAUGUUUUAGCCGCGCGGACGACUUGGGUGAAACGAUUGUCGUGCAUUCGAUUCAAGACCCCGCGUGCGCGCCUCUCGUGGAGGUGUUUCGCGCGAUUGCCAAACGAGAAGCGGCAGAGGCCGCCGCGAGCGCCGCCGCGGCGCGCUUCGGCGACGCUGGCGAUAGCGAGUCGCGCGAUGGUUCGAGUGCAUCUGAUGUAGGCAUCGCCGCGCUCACCGCGGCAAUCAUUCGUCGCACCGCCGCGGAUUUCGAUUCUCGAGAUUGGGGCUCUAUAAUCGGGCGAUUGCACGCGUGGACGGCGUUGCGGGCGAAGAUGGCGGAGACGUACGCAGAGAACGAAGCCGUCGACGGGGACGACGGUUCACAGUCGGCGCACGCUGCGGCGACGAUCGUGUGUCUCAUCGAUGCGUUACCGAUGGAACUUCUUGAAGCCACGGAUUCGUCUUCGGGUGAUCUCGUUCCUUACGCGGCGCAUGGGUCGUCGAUGAUGACCAUCGCCAAGGCGCUCGCGAAUGCGUCGUGGCCGCGCGAGCGCGCCGAAAUCGUCGAACGUUUAUAUCGUUGCGUCAUCAUCACCGGUACCGAGCUGCGCGACGUCGAAGAGGAGGACGACGACGAGCGUCGACAUCGCUUCUGGGCCCGAUGCCGGGACGAGACGCGCAUGUGGAUACGCAUCGCUGACAUUGCGUGCGGCGGCACGCCGACAAAGACGAGCGCGUGGCGAGCCGGCGUUUACGUAGACGCGUGGGACGAUGCCCCGUGUGAAUCCAUAGGCGCGCUUUACCAGUUGCUCGCCAUGUUGCCGACGUUGUGGUUCGACGUUUCGGCCGCCGACGACGACGAAGUAUUGGAAGCGCUCAGGCGCGCGGCUUAUGGUUUGCUUUCCAACGAAGCGCUCAUCCAAGCCGCCGUCGUCGGCUUGGACGCGGGAAUCGCAGACGUCGCCAAGGUGGAGCAAGCCCUCGACGCCGCGCUCGCGGCCGCGGACGAGAACGACGAAGCAGACGUCGGUAACUUUGGGACACCCGCCGAAAGCGCCGGAUUGCGCGAAGAUUUGGCGACACUCCUAUCGAGCGCCGGGUACGAGCCACGCGUCGCGUGGUUAGGCUGGGCCUUGCUCUUCCGCUACGUCCUCGCCUUGCCCAUCGAGUCUUCGUGCAGGGAGCGUUUGGUGAAUUAUACGCGCGAAACAAAGGCGAUUCCAUCGCUUAUGCGCGACAUCAUGCGCUCGAUGCCCCUUCCCGAGAGUGCGGACGUAGAAAGCGAAGACGAUUUGCCGUCGUCGUGGCGAGGCGUCGAUUGGGACAAUCCCGCGUCGGCGACGCAAAUUUAUGAUCCGAGAUUCUCGUUCGAAGUCUUAAUGUACGCCGCCGCGCUCCGCGCGCUUCCAGCGAGCGUUCGAGCGUUCGUAAGCGACAUGAAACCUCAACGCGACGCCAAGCGUCUCGAAGGUGCCACCUCGGCGACGGUUUCGCCGACGCUCAUCGCCGCCGAAUUCAAAGCCGUCUCCGCCAUGACGUUCGCCGGCGACGGCACGGGAUCACUCACCGUCAAGCCCUCCAUCGCCACGCGCGAAUUUCUCACGACGUACGAAAUCGACGAAUCCUCCCUCGAGCUCACCGUGCGUCUCCCCAACGCCUACCCCCUCGCCCCGGCGGAGCUCGUCUGCGCCAAGCGCGUCGGCAUCUCCGAGGCUCGCCUUCGCAAAUGGAUGCUCGGCAUCUCCGCCAUCCUCAAGCAUCAAAACGGUGCCGUCGCCCAGGCUUUACUCCAAUGGCAGCGCAACAUCGACGCCGAGUUCGCCGGCGUGGAGCCGUGUCCGAUUUGCUACGCCGUCAUCCACCCCGUGGAUCAUCAAAAGCCUCGCCUGCGCUGUCGCCAGUGCUCGAACACCUUUCACGCCACCUGUCUCUACACCUGGUUCCGCACGUCGAGCAAGAGUUCGUGUCCACUGUGCGUCACGCCGUGGGGGAGUUCGUACCGUUAGUCUCGAUCGAGUAGCUAGUUUAGACGAUACGAGUCGAGUUAGAAUCCGUCGGCGUCGGCGUCGACGCCUCACACGUCGAGGCGUCGCGAUGAGCGCGCCGUCCAUUUUCCUCGUCCUCGCCGUCGGCGCCCUCGAGCACGUCUACAGCGCGAGCGCGAACACGACGCACGUCAAGCGCACCGUGUUGAUCGUCGACGGCGACCGCGCGCGUCGUCCGUCGCCGUUGAUUCUUUGGAACGCCACGGCGAGAUGCGAAUUAAAAAUCGGCGACGUCGCGUACGCGAGCGCGCUGCGGCGCGCGCACGCGUCGCCUCGAUGGCGAACGCAUCGCGACGCCCUCGUCGCGGCGCGCGGGUGCGAGAUUCGCGCGGUGGCGAGCGCGGAGGCGGUGGCGGGACGGCGCGAGCGACGCGCGCCGGGUGCCGAGUUUUCAACGAAAAAUGGAUUCGACGGUCGCGCCGCGAUGCGACGGACGAUCGAGCGCGCGCGCAAGGAACACGCGGACGUGUUGCGACGCGCGGUGGACGCGGCGGAGGCGAGACGGCGGGAGAGCUUCGGAAGGGAGGCGGGGUACGUCGAGGUCGAGGCGCUCGACGGGACGAGCGCGGCGUUGGUGCACGUGCUGGGACGCGUCGUGCGAGAGACGAUCGCGCCGAGCAGCUGGCGUCCGCGCGCGGGGGGACGCGACGGCGCGCGGUACGUGCGAAGGAUCGUUUGGGUGGUGCAAACGCACGGGGGACGGUGCGUGGCGAUUUGUUUACCGCCGACGACGGAGGCGGCGGCGGCGGAGCGAUCUUUAUUGAAAGACGGUGCGGUGAUCGACGUGCGCAACGCGUUGGUUCGACGAAACGCGCAGACGGGCGUGUGUGACUUAGUGUGCGACGUUCGAUCGCACUGGCGCGCGCUCGAUGGGAAGGACCCGAGGUACGCCGACGUGUGCGCUCGCGCGCCGAAAUCGGCGUUUGAGCAAACGCUGACGUUCGAAGCGCUCGCGCUCGCGAUGCACUCGAACGGAUUCGCGCGCGCGUCGUCCAUGAUUCGAUUCAAAGCGUGCGUGCGAUGGGUGAAGGUGGCCACAGAGCGUAGACGCGUGCCACCGAUGCUUCGCGAGACGGACUCAUCCGUGACGGCGGCGAUGACGUACUUGGCGUGCCUCGCGUGCUCGCGAGAGCUCGAAACCGAUCACAACAACGUGUACAAGAUGUGUCACUGCACGUCAAACGACGCGAGGUGUGGGUUCGUGUGGCGGGACAUCGUGCUCGGAAUGCAAAGCGACCACGGAGAUUCCAAGACGGUGAUUCCGGUGCGGGCGCGCGGCGACAUCGCGCGACGACUUUUAUUCAACGUCGACGCGUCGAGCGUGUUGGACGAACACGCCAGCGACGACGAGUUUGACGACUUCGACGACGACGACGCAGCUCCGCGUUCAGAUCACAAGAAGGUCGUGGUUGCCGCCAUCAACGCGCUCGCCGCCGGCCGUCGAAACGCCGCCAUGGAUUGGCGAGUGAAAUUCCCCGCGCUCGACGAGAACGGACUGCCGAGACGAGACGAGCUCGAGCUCGUGGAUUUUAACGCAGACUAAGCCACAUCACUCGUCGCCGCGUGGGCGAUCUCUCGGAGCACGCGCGCGCGCUCUUCGACGAAGUCUAACUCGCGCGAGAGGCUCGCGUCGCCGCCGUAGGCGCGAUUAUCGCGUGAGCACCGACACGCCAGGUUUCGCACCGCCAUCUUCGCCUCGGCGAGACCGCGCACUUUUUCCACCAUCGCCCGCGCCCUGUACGCCGCCUCCUGUUGCAAUCGCCCGUUUUCGCGCUUCAAGUCUUCAUCCUGUUGUCGCAGCCGAGCGACGGACGCCGUCGCCGCCAACCGUUCCUCCUCCAUGUGUUUCACCGCGCGCUCGUGCGCCGCGCGCGUCGCCUCCACGCGCUCGUUCGACUCCACCACGCUCGCGCGCAAGCUUUCGUACGUCCGCUGCAGCGUAUCGUGCCGUCCGAGCACAUCGGCGAUGUCCUCGAACGCGUUUCCCCGCGCCGCUUCCUCGGCGACGCGCGCCAGAAACCAUUCAAACACCCGCACCCGACCCAACUCCUCCUCCACGCUCGCCCCCGCGCUCGCGCGCUCGCGCAGGCUCCAUCGCAUCUCCGUCAAUCGCGCGUCCCGCGCCUCGUUCGCCUCCCGCUCCUCUUUCGCCCGUCGCAGCGCCGACUGUCGCUUCACCUCGUUCUCCCGCACGAACGCCUCGAACCGCCCGACGUCCGCGCGCGCGCGCCGCUGCGCCUCGUUCGUCGCGCGCUCGCGCCUCGCGCACGCCUCCGCGCGCGCGUCGCGCUCGCGCUUCUUCGCCUCGAGCGCGAGCGACACGCGCGCGAGCGCCAGCGCCUCGAGCGCGCGCGACGACCGCGCGGCGGUUCGCGCGAACGCCGCCACCGCGCGCGCCUCGCUCGCAUCGCUCGUCGCCGCCGCGUCCGACGCGAGCGCGGUGAGGAAACCCUCGCGCGCGGUCGCGCGCGCGUCGUCGUCCAUCGCGUCGCCCGCGUCGCCGUCGUCGUCGUCGUCGUCGCCGUCGUCGUCGUCGCGGUUCGACGUGCGCGCGAACGUCGCUUUGUAUCGCCAAAAAUAACCGUCGACGCCUCGACGCGCGCGACGCGCGCCGCCUCGACGCGCGCGCGAACGCGCGACGGUUCCCUCGACCGCGCCGAAAACAGGCGCGCGCGCGACGCGCGCGCGACGGGCCGCGUCCGCGCGCGCGCCGACGCCCGGCGCGUCGUCCGUCUCGACGUCGAAAACGCGCGCGCCGCGCACCGUCGCGGACCGUCGCGCGUUAAAACGCGCGCGCUCGAAACGCGCGCCGCGCGCGCGCGAUGAACGAUGGAAAGUUUCGAGUCGUCGUCGCGGCGCGUCGUCCGUCUCGACGUCGCGCCCGCGCGACGCCGCUCGAGCGUCACGUCGCGACGCGCGAUGUCGCGAAUCGCCGCGCUUCGCGCGCUCGCGCUCGUCGCGUGCGUCGCGACGCUCGUCGAUCGUCGAUGCGGCGUCCCGUCGUCGUCGUCGGCGUCCGACGCGACGGCGUUCGACGAGUCGCGCGCGCGCGCGACGGCGCGCGCGCUCGAGGCGCUCGGCGCGCGACCGUGCGGGACGCCCGCCGAGGCGCGCGGAUUCGCGACGCUCGAGCGCGCGACGACGACGAUGGCCGAGGCGCUCGCGCGGGACGCGGGCGCACACGGCGUCGCGUCCUGGACGACCGCGGAGACGCGCGCGACGUCGACGUGGACGAGCGAGGCGUACGAGACGACGUACGCGAACGCGACGGCGACGACGACGAAGGCGAUGAAUCGGGACGCGAUCGAGCGGUUAGGGUACGACGAGCGCGUGGUCGUCGUGAGCGCGCACGUGGACACGGCGCACGCGAGCGCGGGCGGGAGCGACGCGGGAGCGUGCGCGGCGAUCGCGCUGGAGACGAUGCGGGCGCUGUCGGCGCGAAUCGCGGCGGCGGCGAACGAAAAGGCGAAGAGCGGAGGGACGGCGUCGCCGGUGAUGUGCGACGCGAAAGCGCGGCGGUGCGCGUCGGUGGUUUUGACGUUUAGCACGGCGGAGGAGGACGGAUUGGCGGGCGCGCGAGGGUUGACGGCGUCGCGGGAGUGGGCGCGGCGAGCGCCGCAGGCGAUUUUAAACCUCGAGUCGAUGGGCGCGGGCGGGCCGCAUCGAAUGUUUCAGGCGCGCGCGGACACGGCGGUCGGAAGGCAGGCGCUGCGCGCGUGGGCGCGCGUCGCGCCGCUCGCGAGCGGCGGCGUCUUCGGAGACGAUGUGUUCAAGUCGGGGUUGAUCAACAGCGGCACCGAUUACUCGGUGUUUCGGAAAUUUAGCGACGCCGAGGCGCUGUUCGAUUUCGCGUUCGUCGAGCGCACGAUGGUGUAUCACACGCCGCGAGAUCGGGUGAAAUAUAUCCGGCCGGGGUCGUUUAAGCAUUCGGGGGAGAAUUUGCUCGAGUUUUUAUCGGACUACGUCACGCGCGGCGGAUUCGAGAGCGAAGGCGACGACGCGCGCGCGACGAAAUCAUCGCCGCCGGUGUCGUGGUACACGAUCCCUGGAUACGGCAUGGUGGUGCACGACGCGCCUCGGCGCGAGACGCACGCGGUCUUCUUCGCCGCGCCGCUCGUCCUCUUCGCCGCGUUUUUGCACAAGGCGUACGUCGGCGAAAUAUUCGCCUCGUCGUCGGCUUGCUCCGAAGCCGCGCGCGUUCGCAUGGAAAACACGUUUCGACUCAUGGUGAGCGUCCCGUUCGUCAUCGCGGGGUGCGCCGCGAGCUGGAUGGGUGCCAUCGCAUCAGCCGCGCUCGCGCCCGCGACGGUGGCGUUCGCGUUCGGCGAGCCGAGUUUGUACGUCGCUCGUCCGCUCGCGCUCGGCGCGCUCGCGGGCUCAGCCGCGUGUCUCGCCUUCAUCUGCGUUCAAAGGUUCACGCGCAUGCUCGCGUUCGCGAUGAUGCCCUUACCGGUGAAGAUGAAAUCGAACGCCGACGACGAGCGCGUCGUCGAGUGGUCGCUGCUUCUGGGAAACGUCGCGAUUUGGGGCGCGGCGGCGUCUCGCGCGACGCGCGCCGAGAUCGGCUCGUCCUACAUCCCGCUGCUUUGGCUGAUAUUGCCGUCGUCCAUAAUCAUCGCGCCGGUUCUCGUGCCGUGGAUUCUCGCGCAUGGUCGAUCGAGCGAAACGGAAGCCGCGCCGCCGCCGCCGACGCCGAUGAACGUCGCGUUCGCCAUCGCCGCGCCGGUGUGGAUUACGUUUCCGAACGCCGCCCUCGUGCUUCGCGUCUUGCAAGGCAUCGGCGCGCGUUCGCCUCUGAGUGAUGAUAUCGUGUAUCUCUACGACGCCAUCGGCGGCGCCGUGGUCGGGAUCUUCGUCGCCAUGACGUGUAGCUUUUUGGUUCCGGGCGCGGUGGCGAAGGAGGACUCGGCGUCGUGGCGGCGCGGCGCCAGGAUCUCAAUCAUCACGCUCGCUUCGGCGUGCGCGUAUACCGUGGUUUUCAUGCGCGCGAACGCGGGCGUGCACUGGACGGCGUUGUCGCCGCAGCCACUGGUCUUGACGCACAUCUCCGACGCGUCGUUUUCUCGCUCGCGCGUCGUGUUGGCGCGCGCUGGAGCGUCUCGCACGCGACGCGUCGUCGAGCACCUCGAAUCCAACCCCGCCAUCGCUCGCGCGUUCACGUUCGAUUGCACCGCCAACGCGACGUAUGAUUUUGUGAACACCGUCGUCAGGGGCGCGUGCGUGAUCGAUGCGAAACAGAAGACACCCGGCGUCGACGCGCUCGCGAUGGAGGCGAGAGCCACUGGAGCGUCGCCGCCGAAAUUUACGACGCCGCGCCAAAGACACGCACCGAACGUGCGUUCGGUGACGAUGGACGUGGGCGAAAGCACGCGAUGGGUGCUCGCGGUGGACACGCGGUGCGUCGCUCGCGUCGCCAUCAAGGCGCUUUACGAUGAAAACGACGACGAAUCGCCCGAGCAAUGGGUGCGCGUCGAGCCGUACGCGCCCGGCGGCAAGAAACGACACGUGCUCAACGGCGUCGGCGGCCUCUCGGCGCCGUCGACGUACGCGAUUUGGUAUGAAACGCGCGACGCGGAGACGCGCGCUCGUUACUUUUCGAGCGACGACGAAGCGCAAGCGCGCGCGUGCGCCAAAGGCUUGCGCGCGCGAACGGAUUACGUCGCGCGAACGCCGAGCGUCGUCGCCGUCGACGCGGCUUUGCCCACAUGGGCGGUGCCGUUCGGUAAACAUCGAAGCCCGCAAUGGCUAGGUUUCGUAGAAACGCACGAUGUGUUGAAUUGAAUUAAAUUGAAUCGGCUCGUUCACGCCGCCGCCGCGCUUCUCGAAGAGCGAGUCUCCACGAAGAGCAAGUCUUCAUCCGUCCCGAACGCCGUCCGCGCCUCGUCGAACCGCGCGCGAGAGACCAUCACGUCGCCCCCAUCCGGCGCCGGGUCGAAUAUUCUAAAUCGAAUCACCCUCCCGCCGUCGACGUCCGCGCCUCGCACGACGACGAAGUGCCCGACGAAAUCGCGCUCGCGUUCGCGUUCGCCCUCCCGCGCCGUCAACAACCGCGCGUCCACCAGAGCCACGCACCGCACCGCCCGCGUCGAGAGCGCUCGCGCGAUGUCCUCCGCGCGCAUCCUCGCGCGCACCACCGUCGAGGCGUCCGCGCGCGCGAAGAGCCUCGCCACGCGCUCGCAGUCCUUUAUCAACUCGUUCUCGUAAAAGCCGUCGUUCGCGUACCGCGGAUCGACGCCCGCGCGCGUCGUCACCAGCGUCGCCCUCGCGCCCGUCGCUCGCACCGCGCGCAGCAAAUCGAUCGUCCAGCACGACCUCGCGCGCAGCGCCCGUCGCAGGGCGUCGCGCGGCGUCCCGCUCGCGCUCGCCGCCGCGCUCAGCCCGCAGUCCCACGCCGAGCGCUGUUCGCGCGGCGUCCAAUCCGCCGCCUCGUCGCGCGCGCGCGCGGGAAACCGUCCAAACGUUCGGUCGAACGCGCGCGCCGUCAUGGCGCGCGCGCGCGCGGUCCGGUCGUCGUCGUCGCGCCGUCGCGUUCGCAUCGUUCGAACACCGUUACUCGAAAUGUUUGAUUGAUGAAGGCGCGAUUCGUCGCGCGAGGACGCGAAAUGCGGCGCCGAGGCGCGCGCGCGACGCGCGCGACGGCGUCGUUCGCGCGCGUCGUCGCGCGCGGCGCGCGGCGCGCGGCGCGCGGCGGUGUGAGGAAAUGGAGCGUCGACUCGCGCUCACGCGAGGCACGGGACGGCGGCGGCGGCGGCGAAGAGGAGCGACGCGCGCUCGCUCGCGGCGAUGGCGGCGCACGCGCUCGAGCCCGACGCCGACGUGGUGCCGACGGCGCACGCGGCGCACGCGCUCGAGCCCGCGUUCGCGGCGAACGUGCCCGACGGACAGAAAUCACACGCGCCGGCGACGCGUCCGCGCGCGCGCGCCCGGGAUCGAUCGCUCACUGUUACUCAUACCCGAAUGUCCGAAAUCGUCGUCGUAUUUAUGCGCGACGCGCACCGUACUCGAGCGCUCUGAAAGGCCAUCAGUAAAGCGUCGCGAGACGUCGCGUCCGACCGCCUCCCGCGCGCGCGUCGCACACCGCGACGCGCGCGCGCGACGCGACGGACGACGCGGAAGACGACACGGAAGACGGACGACGGACGCUCGAACCGCGAGCGAUGCCGACCGCCGCGAUGACGGCGCGAACGAAGGACGAACGACGACGAUUCGUCGUUCGAGGCGCGAUCACGCGCGCGCCCUGCCUCCCGGAAUUGAGCGCGAAGGCGACGCCGGAAGCGCGUAAGAAGGUCGAUUUCAACGAGGUGAUGAAGAAGGCGUCCGCGCGGGCGUUUCGCGGCGGCGUCGCGGGAUUCGCGGCGGGCGUGAUUCAGGUCGGGACGUUCAUGUGGAUGCGAACGGCGAUGAAUUAUCAGUACGCGAACGGCGGGACGAUGCUGUCGAGCAUUAAGGCGCUGUAUAAGGAGGGCGGAGUGCCGAGAUUGUAUAAGGGGAUGUCGUUUGCGAUCGUGCAAGCGCCGUUGAGCCGAUUCGGGGACACGGCGGCGAACACUGGGGUGAUCGCGGCGUUGGAGGCGUACUAUCCGCAAAUGCCGGUGAGCGUGAUGACGGGAUUCGCGAGCGUCGGAGGCGCGACGUGGCGGAUCUUUUUAACGCCCGUGGACACGUUCAAGACGACGCUGCAAGUGCAAGGGAACGCGGCCUUCGCGUUGUUGAAGGAUAAGGUGCGAACUGGUGGCGUCGGAGUGUUGUACAACGGCGCGGCGGCGAACUUCGCGGCGAACUGGGUCGGCAACUAUCCGUGGUUCGCGACGUUCAACUACUUGCAAAAGGCGAUCCCGAAGCAAGACACGAAGUUGAAGAACAACGCGCGCAACGCUUUGAUCGGUAUGGCGGCGUCGAUCGUGUCCGAUUGCAUCUCCAACUCUUUGCGCGUCGUGAAGACGGUCAAGCAAACCUCUGGCGACGCCAAGUUGAGUUACACGGGCGCCAUCAAGGGUGUGCUCGAAAAGGACGGCAUGAAGGGCUUGUUCGGCCGUGGAUUGUCCACGCGCAUCGCCACGAAUGUGUUGCAAGCCAUGGUGUUCUCUGUGGCGUGGAAGGCUAUCGAGGAAGAGCUCAACAAGAAGGCUGAAGCCAAGAACGCCGCGCCGGCGAAGAAGGGCAAAAAGGCGUCCCUCACCGCCGCGCAAGUCGCCGGCGUCGGGUUACCCCCGCUCAGCAUCGCGUAAACAAACGCGAUUAAUAUCUGUAGAUCAUUCGAUCUCUGUGCCGCUCGAAAACCGAGCAGCGCACAUUUUUCUCGCGUCGACACGAAGCAGAGCGCUCGCGGGGCGAGCGGUGAUACAAUACGCCGUUUCGCUCUUCGGCGAAUUCCAGCAUGUGAAAUAAACACGCACGUAUAUAAUCAUAAUCACAAUGCUCGUCUCUCUAACUAAAACUUAAUAUCCUCGUCACACGCGCGCUCACGCCGCGACCGGGUCGAGCUGCUUGUCCGUGAACACCCACUCGUCGCCCUUCUUGACGACGGCGAUGCACUUGCUGCCGACGCGCCAAGUCGCCGUGGCGAUGGGCGUCGGGUCAUACAGGUACAGAUCCGGGAACGCCUUUUGCAACGCCUCGGUGGCCUUCUUGGCGUGGUAGUGCGGGAUGGUGUGGUUGAUGUGAUGCGCGACGUGCGUGCUGCCGAUGCGGUGGUGCAAAAAGUCAAACACUGGCCCGUACGGGCGAUCAAUCGUCAUAAACGCGCCCUUGACCAAGUUCCAGUCGUCGCCCUCAAAGUGCGGCACGUCCACGUCAGUGUGCUGCAACCACGUGUACAGGACGAGCCAAAAGUUGGUCACCAUGUACGGUCCGACGUAGAGCGCCAUGACGGUGGCGACACCGCUGUGCGCCGCCCACGCCGCGAGCGCUCCCAAAACCGCCACGACGCCGACGUCGCUCUGCCAAACCUUCUUCGCCCACUUCCCCGGGAACAACGCGUGCUUACCCUUCUCGCCCAUGAACGGCAAGAAGUGGUUCGUGUUCCCGCGAACCGGCCCACCGCUGGCGCCGGUGAGCAAAUAAAUCGGCCACCCCAAGGCGAACACUCCGACGAGGUUCAAAAACGUAAACGGCCCUUCGCCGAGCAACCCGCGCAACUUGAACAUCACGUUCGCGUCCUCCGUCCCCAACCGCGCCGGCACGUGCGUCUCUCCCUCGAGCACGUGAUUAGUCCUCGAGUGAUGCACCGCGUGCGACCGCUGCCACGAAAAAUACGGCACCAACAACAACGAGUGCAGCGCGUAUCCCACCGCGUCUUGAAUCGUUUUAUCGUCGCUAAACGCGCCGUGUCCGCACUCGUGCGCCGCGACCCAGCACCCGGUCGCCGCCGUUCCCGUCACGAACGCGUACGCCACCCACACCGGCCAAUACGCCGCCGUCACCGGCACGCACGCCCACGCCAGCGCGCCGCACGCCAGCGUGAUCGCCGUCGAGCACGCCGCGUACGCGAGCGACUUUCCCGUGUCCCGCUCGAAGCACUCCCUCGGGAUCGCGCGCAGCACCUCUUGCAUCGUCGGGAACGUCUUCGCCUCGGCGUUCAGCGCCUUGGCGUUCAAGCCCGAGCGCAGUUGUUCGUGUCGCGACGUGUCGUAGGUCGUCGCGGCGUCGGCGCGCGCGGCGCGGGCGACGCGCGCGCGAUCGCGACGUGACGUCGUCGAGCGAGAGAACGCGGCGCGCGGGAGCGCGCGAGCGCGCGGGAGCGUCAGAGCGCGGAGCAUGACGCGCGACUGUCGUUCGUGGAUCGCGGUGCCGCGGGAAAGCGGUCGACGCGCGAGCGCCGGUGAGUGCGAACGCGACGACGCGACGGGAGAGCCUUAUCCCGCGAGGCGCGAAGGCGGACGCGAGGCGAGCGAAACGCGCGAACGAAUCGGGGCGUUACAAAGGCUAGACGACGCGCGAGAGACGCAUGGAACGUAAAAUCUUAUCCACGAGUUGUGCGAUCACGGUGUGGGAUUGACGCUCGUCGCCGUGGUCGGUGAAUAAAGACUUGAGCCUGGCGACGACGUCGUGGCGGAUGAUGAGCUCCUUGGGACGCUGGGCGUGCUCGUGGACGACGCCGAGGGUCUUGAGAAGGGUGAUGCGGAUCGUCGGUUUCGUGGUUGGGGAAGUGAUGGCGUCCAUGAGGGAUGGGAUGAAAUCCUCGUUGGCCAGGGCUUGGCACAAGCGGGGGGAUUUGGAGAUGAGAUCGAGCAAGGCUUCGAGGACGUUGGCUUGGGAGGUGGAUUCGUCGAGGACCUCGAGGAUGGAAUCGAUGGCGUCCGUCUCGAGCAAGCGAGCUUCGACUUUCCACGGUUCGAUAGCGAGCCAGGAACCGACGGCAUUGAGCGCGGAGAGUGUCCAUCCGGAGUUCACGGCUAUGAGCUGGACGUAGGUGUCCAACGCGCCGUGCUUCUCCAAAAUUUCGCGCGUUUUCCGACUCGUCGACGCCAUGUCGCACAAGAGCGGCACGGCGAGCGUCAUCGCGGAAGAGCGCGCGGUGGUCGCGACUGCGGCGGUGUUGACUUUAUCGCCAUUCGUGGCCGUCGACAUCGAGCCAUCUCCGUUCUUUUCGUCCCGAGCGCUGGCGAUGAUUUGAACGAGGAUUGGAAUCAAACCCGCCACGGCGGCUUGCUCCUGACGCUCCUUGUUCACCGCGCACAAGUUGUGCAACGCCUUCAGCGCCAUCUCCCACGAUUGCGCGUGACCACUUCGAAAGUUACCUUCGACGCAUUUCACCAAUUUGGGAAUCGCUCCGGCGUUUUGCAACACAUGAAAUGCAUUCGUUUGUUGAGACAGCAAGUGCACCAGACCGAGAAUCUUCGUCGCCGUCGAGCGAGGGACGACGCUCAAUUGCGCCAAACAUCCGUGAAUAAUUCUCACGUCCACGAGCGCCUUGGAGACUUCUGCGCAUCCUUCACCACGUUUGGCGACACGAUACAGCGUCUCGGCGACGAGUUCGCGGUAAUACUUGCCCCCACUGGAACCUCCGCUGCGCGAUCGACUGAUCGUACUCGCGCCGCCGAUUGAUCCUGUCAUCGACGAACCCCCCUCGCUGCGCGCGUCGUCGAUAUCGUCCGUGAUCAUCGCCGCAUCUUCUAAACUCGCUGUGUGCGUUGCACCGAGCAAGGUGACAAGUUUCGGGAACAGGCCUGCGCUAGCAAGGGCAAGCGAGACGGUUUGAGCGAGUUGUUUCGGCAGCUGGUCGCCGCGCUCGAUCUCCGCGGCAAUAUAAAUCGCCCCGAGUGCGUAUUUGGUGAGCUCGCGCCCGUUUCCGCUGUAUCCGUAAUCCAAUACGUCGACUAAUAUGGGAAGCGCCCCGCAUGCGACGAGACAUCGUGUGAACACCGGUCCAGCCUUGGCGGUGGCGCGACACAGCCGCAACGCCGCGAGCUUGAUCCUCAUGCUUGAAUCCUUCUUUUUCAGCACCUCUAAAGCCCUAGGUAGCACCGCAAGCGUGACGAACGAUGUGAGUAUAUCUCUGCUCAACAUACUCGCUGCCGUGACACACUCUAACGCCACCGUUCGCAUUCUUGCCGACGCCGAUUCAUUUUCUAAGACGUUGACGAAAACGCCGCACGCUCGCGUGGUAAAGAGCGUCUCGUUCGCCACCAAUACGCUCGUAGCGGUCUCCAUCGCGCGUACGAAUUCUGCACCAGCCUGUUCGGCGUCAUCUAUCGCCGCCACAUCACUCGUUGACGUGCCGAACGCAUCCUUCAAGCGAUCGACGAUUGAGAUGAGCGAUUUGUUGAAGUCGAUUUGCGCCUUUGUCACGCCCGAGUCGCUCUUCAUAAAGUUCCCCAAAUCGCUCUUCAUAAAGUUUUCUAAGUCCUUUUGCGAGCUUGAGCGCUCGCUCGCGGCUAUUAGGGGUGACGAAUUGGCGGCUGCGGCGUCGUCCGCCGCCGUGACGUCGCCGUUCACGCCAACUUUUGCCAUUUGAUCGAUGACUUUAACGAUGACGCCUUCCUCCGCGUCGUCAUUCUGCGUUCGCCCACCGCUCGCGUCUCGUUUGGUCCACGUCUCGGCGAGCACUUUGUGCUCGUCCAUCAACCACGUGUGGUUGAUCAACUCCUCCGCGCUCGGUCGAUCUUUCGGGUCCCUUUUGAAGCACAACAACAAGAAAUCCCGCAACGCCUCUGAAAUCCCCGUCGGCAGCGGCGGGUGCUCGUCGCGUACGAUCCUAAACAACGCCGGCAUGGGAUCGAGAUCAAAAUACGGCGGGUUGCUGGUCAAUAACUCUAUGAUAGUACAUCCCACGCUCCAUAUAUCCGCCGCCGCCGUGACGCUCCGCAUUUCGAUCACUUCCGGCGCCAUCCAAUACGGAGUCCCCAGCGCCUUGUCGCCCUCGCCCUCACCCUCGGCUCGCGUCCCAUCGCCAAUCCCGCGCCCAUCGCUCGCAUCACCAUCGCUUCCUUCCGACCUCCCCUCCGCCCCGAACACACCACUCAACCCAUCCCCCGACGCCCGUCCGCCCUUUGUCGCCACGCCGAAAUCCGCCAACUUCACCACUCCCUCCUUCGUCGUCAAUAUAUUCGCCCCCUUGAUGUCCCUGUGCACCACUCCUUGCGAGUGCAAGUACGCCAACCCUCUCAACACCUGCGCGACGUACACCGCGCACAGGCUCUCCGGGAACGCCCCGAAUCGACUCGGAUGUACCGUUCGCGCCAGCGACCCAUUCUCCGCGUACUCCAGCAUGAUGUACAAGCACUCCUCCACGCGCACCGCGCCCUCAUAUUUCACGAUAUUCGCGUGUUCGAGCCUCGACAGCAGCUCCACUUCGCUCGUGAUGCGCUCGAGCUGCUCGACCGGGACGCCGCGCAGCGGAAUCUCCUUCACCGCGCAAAUCGACCCCGUGCGCUGGUCGACGGCUUUGUGCACGCGCGACGUCGCGCCGGAGCCGAUGAGCUCGCCCAGGAUGUGGUUACCGACGCGUUUCACCGCGUGGUGCGGCGACGCCGGCGGCGACGCCGGCAUGGCGCGUCGGAGAGUGCGUUCGAUGCGAUUGAGAUUGGCGACGACGGUUGAAAAUUUGAGAUUUCGGCGGAGGCGCGGUCGGCGACGGAUGCACGCGCGAUGCGGGACGCGCGCGACGCGAACGCGCGUCACGAACGAAAUGAAAAGACUCGCAUGAGAUUACACGCGAGAUGGCGCGGUUAGAUCUCGGCCGAGGUGGAGACGUCGAGGAUUCGACGGCGAAUGACGCGGUCGGCGACGGCGAGUUGGGCGUCGGCGACGGAGGCUCGAACGGCGCGAAUCGCGGAUGCGGUCGUGGCGAUGAUGGCGAUCGCGCCGAGAGGCGAUUUGGGGGGUAACGUUCCCGCGCGAAUGUGCGCGGAGAGGGCGUAGAUGGCGUACACGGUGGGGAUGGCUUGGAAGACGUAAAAGGCGACGACGGCGAGGCGUUGCGACGCGGCGUACGCGACGGUUUCGUAGUGAGGAAAACCGCUCGCCGUUCGGGCGAAUGUGCGGAAGUGUACCGUGGCGUCGCGGAGUUCGGUGAUGAGCGAACACGCGAUUGCGACGACGAAAACGUCGUGGUGCAACGCGAGGAGCGUGACGGCCAAAGCGACGACGCGGCGAAACAUCUCGCCGCGCUCGCGGCGGGCGCCGUCGACGACGACACGACCGACCAUCACCAUGACGUACACCUUGAGUAACUCCACCGCAGCUAACUUUCCAGCCUGCUUUCUUUCGUUCGGAAGUAUCCACGAGAUGGCGGCGGCGCGCACGUUUUGCGUGUCGUCGAUGAAGCGAUACGCCGCCGUGCCGACGGCGGCGGCGACGACUGCCUUGGUCAACGGGACGCUGAGCGCCAAGGAACGUUCCAUGAGCGUGCCGUGUGCGCUCGAUGCUUCGGCGAGCUUGACUUUACUAACCUUUUUACCGAGCUGCGGCAACGCCACGCUCGAGACGACGGCGGCUAAGAAGGUCGCGCAGCUAAAGACUGCGACGACGCCGACGAGCAGAGGCACAGCCAUCGGGAGCAUUUCCGUCACUGUUGAAGGAUUGCGCUGCGCGAACAUCGCACAGAUGGCCACUACCACGGCUAAGUAUUGAAAUUCCGGCGCGAUGGACGAGGUAGAAACCUCGCUUCUAGAUGCAUCGUCGCUCUUCUUGACCCACGUCAUUUGCAAAUCGUAAAUCAACUUGUUCGCAAACGCAGCCUCGCAAUACGCAAAGUAAAACUCAAACAUGCGCAAAAACUUUCGUGAGUAGCCCAUAGAAAGGAUUCGUUGGGCGUGAUGCAUCAUACGCUCGCGCCACAAUCGCAAAGUGACGGCAUAAUGCAAGCCGAUAUCGUCGUAUCCCUCGAGCACGAGACCACGCGGCGAAGCGCUCUUCAUCGCCCCCACCGACGGCAAGUGGCCACCUGGGAAAAUGUACGCACGAAUGAAGUCGCUUUCACUGUUGCAGUAUGACUCGUAGCGGCCGUCCGGCAUAGUGAUGACUUGGAUCGCGGCUCGCCCGCCGGGUUUCAGCACUCUGUGCACGGUGCCAAAGAACGUCGGCAAGUGUUCGUGUCCGACCGCCUCAAGCAUUUCAAUCGACACCACCUUGUCGAACGUUCCUUGCACAUCGCGGUAGUCACAAAUGACGAUGUCGAUCAAGUGUGACAAACCGGCGGCUUUGACGCGCGCCGUUGCUUCGGCGUGCUGCUCGUGCGACAGUGUCAAACCAGUGACAUGGCAAUUCUUCUCGCUCGCCAUGCGAAUCGCGCACGUCCCCCAACCGCAGCCAAUCUCAAGCACGCGAUCGCCUGGCUUAAUACCCGCUCGAGCGAUCAUGGCGUCUAUCUUUAAAUACUGCGCCUCUUCCAAGUGCUUUUCUUGGGCCUCGAACGUCUUGAACUUCUUCAAAACGUCUACGGACAUCGCAGCGUCGUCGAUAGCGCCGUGAAUGGCGCUCGAGUACAACAUGGUGUCAUCCAAAAACAGCUUGUAGAACUCGUUUCCAGCGUCGUAGUGGUACUCUAUGUUUUUACGAGAUCCUUCUUUCGUGUUACUUAACGCCUUGUGUGCUGCCAUCUCCAUUUGCGCUCCUACCCAGUUAACCGCCUCCGUGAGGAGACCCACUGGGUCGAGACGCAUCUUCGGCUUACAGCUCUCCGUCUCUGCGCCAGAAGCCGCGGGAUGGCCUUUGCAAAUCAUGUCCAUGAACCCAAUUAAAUCCACGUCGAAAUCUCCGUUCAUAUAACACUCACCAAGACCGAUAUCUGCGCGCAAAAUCGUUUGCAUGAAGAGUCUUUGGUUGAAUACCGUCAUGGUAAUCGUCUCCGACGACGCGUUGGCCUCUUUACCCAUCAUAAGACGUUCGCUUCCAUCCGGUAAAAUCAUGCGGAGUCGUUUGUCGGCUGGUAACCACCCCACGCACGCGCGCUGGAAAAGCGGUAAGACCAUCUUCGUGCUCAUGGACAACUUUGGAUCGCACGACCGCGGCAUCCACGGCACGGAUGACUUGCCGAGCAUUUUGUCCACACAAUCAACCGCUGAUUUGAUACCAUCCUCGUGAAAUCCGUAGCCGCACCACGCGCCGCAAAACCAAACCCGGUCUUUACCUUGUAACGCCUUGAUCUCCUCCUGCGCCGCGAUCGCGGCUUUGUUAAAUAACGGAUGCGCGAGCGUGACUUUGUGUUCGACCGAGCCUGCCUUCGGCUCGCGCGGCGGGUUCAGCGUGACGAACAAAUCCUUCGUCCCAGGGGCGAGGUUUUGCAACAAGUUGACCCAGUAAGUCACACAAACGCUUCGAUUUGCGGCUUCUUCGGCGGGAAUGCCUAAGCGAUCGCCGCGAAGGCAGUUCCACGAUGCCCAGGCAUCUUUGUUCCGCGGCAUCAUUGUUUCGUCGGUGUGCAAAUACACGUCAUUCUCUUGAUACUUCACCGCCGACAGAGCCGAGACUUCUUCCUCGCUCGCAGCUUUGCCAAGUAUUUGUAACGCUUGAUCGCUAUGGCACGCGAAAACGACGUCGUCGAAAACCUCGGUGGACUCCUGAACUUUUCCCUUGGCGUCCUCUGUCUUAAAAGUCACGCUCACGCCCCCCGCCACGCGGUACACCUUGGUCACGUACGCGCCCUUACGCACGUCUUUGAGCUCGCGCUCAACGGCGUCGACGUAAGCGCUCGAUCGACCACUGACGACUCGCCAGAGAGGUCGCUCGAUGAUGUUUAAUAAGUGAUGGUUCACCCAAAAUCGUACGAGCGUGCGCACUGGGAACGCCAUCGCGUCGUCGUCGCUGCAGCUCCAAAUCGCCGCACACAUCGGCACCACGUACGACUCUUGAAAGAACGCCGAGUACUUGCGAGCUUUGAGGUACUCACCCAAAGAGACGUCCGCGAACUCGCUCGCGCGUUCCGGCGCCAAAACCUCUGGCGCCUCGCGACCAAAACGUAGAAUCUCCCGAAUCAUAUUCAAAAACCGUCCGCUCAUCGCGUUCGACUUUUGCGCGAACACGCCUUUCAGUCCUAUGCUCCCCCACUCGACGUCUCCCGUGGACAAUGAAAACGACAUGUCGCUCGGUUCGCUCUCGACGCCGAGCUCGCCGAACAGGCCCACCAGGUGCGGGUACGUCGUCAGGUUGAACACCUGGAAGCCCAAAUCCACGUCGCACUUCGCCGUGCUCGAGUAUUGCGUCAGUGCGUGUCCACCGAGCUUCGUCGACGCUUCGAACAGCGUCACCGCGCCGCACGAGGGCGUCGAGGGCGCGCUUUGCGCUUUUACACUUUUUGGUCCGCCGCCGGCGUCGUCGGCGUUCUUUUGGAGUAAAUACGCCGCCGACAGGCCGCUGACGCCGCCGCCGAUGACGGCGACGCGUUUACCGCGUGUGGUGGCUUCGUCCUUCAUCUCGGCGUCGCCCGCGCGCGCGAUGACGCGUCGAGCGCUGACGUCACUCUGAGGUGGUCACUUUAGGGGACGGCGGGACGAGGCGCGCGCGGACGCGAACGCGGCCACGUUUGGGCGCUACGAUGAUCUAAUUCUAGUUACACGUUGUUGUGCUAAUGUUUGAGCGCGCGCUACGUCCACACGAUGUGCCGGUCGGAGGUGACCUCGUAUCGGCGCUGGUCCACGAGGCGACGCUUUACGUGGUCGCAUCGAAGGUCGGGGUGCGGGAACCGCGCGAGGUCGGCCACGCCGUCGUGGUCGAAAUCGGUGGCGGAUCGUAAUGGAAUGGCGGUCGUGGCGUCGGGCCCGAUUCCGAGCGCGGCUUCGGCGUUGUGCUUGGUUUCGAGGACGUGCUGGAGGAAUUGUUCCUUGUCGCGCGCGUCUCCGCAAUACGACGCCGUGACGGUGUGCGCGCCUGGGAACGUACCAUCGUCUCCCGCGUUGGCGGUGAUGAAAUUUCCCGAUUCUGCGGUGCUCAUGGCGUGGAUGUGGAACUCUCCCGCCGUCGUCGGCACGAGAACGUAGUUGAAGUAACUCUGCUCCGGAAAUUCGCCGUAGUUCACCUUGGAUACUAAUCGACUCUCCCCCUCGAGCCAUCGCUCGCACAAACUCACGCUCCGCGUCGUGGCUGGGAAAAUGACGAGCUUCGUGUUCAUGUUUCCUUGCGCCUCGAACUCGUUACCGACGUCUGAGCUCACGACGACGUCGUACUUUUCGAGCGCGCUCGUCCACGCUUCGGUUGGAUCGGACAAAAACACCGUGUCCGAAUCGAGCAUCACCACUGGGAUGCGCGCUUUCAGUAAUUCUAAGGCCGCGUGUACCUUGCGCCACGACAUGGCGUCGCGCGCGACGCCAUCGUUCGGAUCUUGCCCGUACGCCCGCGCGAAGUCGGCGUCGUAAAAGCAAUCCACGCCGCGAUGCGCCUCGCACGAUCGCUGCGUCUCCGUGUCGUACGUCAGCACCGUGACGUGCGGCAACAACGCCGGUGCCCAUCGUUUAACGCUCUGAAUCUGCAAAUACGUCAUCCCCCACUCGAACGGCUUGGUGAGGAUUAAUAUCCGCGCGUCGUCGCUCGCCCGCUGCGUCUCUCGCACGUGCGUCCGCAGCCCCGGCACGCCGCGUCCCGGCGACCGCAGUCCCGGCACGCGCGUGCGCAGCGAUAUCCUAUUUAUCACAUCCGCCUUCGCCGGCGCCCGCAUCCGCGCUUCCGCGCUCAACGGCGCUCCGAAAAAGUUCCCUCGCUCGUUCGCCGUCCCGCCCAGCCUCGCCGUCGCCCUCGAUCGCCCCGCCGCGCCCUCUCGCACCGCCGCGACCGCGAGCGCGCACGCCAGCGCGACCGCCACCGCGACCGCGAUCCCCGAGCCGCGCGUUCGCGCGCCGAUUCGCCUCGCGCGGCGCACCUCGGCGACGCGUUCGUCCUCAACACCAUUCGCUUCCCGCGCGCGCGACUCCGUCCCGUACGCCGUCGACGCGCCGCGCGCCAUCAGCCCCGUCGCGGGGUCCUCGCUCGACAUCUCCGCGCGUCGACGCUCGCGCGCGCGCGCGUCGCGGUGUGCCGCGCGCGUCGCCCGCGCGCCGCGCGAAGAUGUCGUAACACCCAUCGACGGCGCGACACAAAUCGUCGCGCGAGCGCGCGCGAGCGUCGCGCUCGACGCCCGGCGCCGACUCGAGCGACGCGCGAACGCGAUCGACGCGCGAUCGACGACGCGCGAUGGCGCGAACGGAGCGCACGGCGCUGCUGCGCGGCGAUGAAGACGUGGAAAUCGCGUUGAAAACGCGUCGCGGCGACAAAGACGCGUCCGCGGACGACGCGCGCGAGGCUCUCGGGCGACGCGAGAGGCGCGCGCGCGAGUCGAACGGUGGCGCGGAGGCGUCGACGAGCGCGCGCGGGAUGAAGACGGCGCGCGCGGUGGUGGUGGGGACGUUGGCGGCGGGGGCGAUCGCGGCGGGCGUCGCGGCGUUCGCGGCGUCGCCGCGCGCGGCGUCGAUGACGGCCGAUCGCGCGUUCGCGUCGCUCGGUGAGCGAGGAAUGGCGAUGUUGGGCUCGAGCGAGGGCGCGGGUCGCGACGCGAGACCGGUGCCGGUGCUGUCGAAACGAUUUCCGGGAUACGCGGCGCCGUUUAGCGGACGUUUCGAACGCAUCGGCGAGUGGCCCGAGCACUGGUUGGUGAAGUGCUCGAAGCACGUGGUGUGCGAGCAAUCACACUUGGGAGCGUUUUUGGGGUCUCGUGACGCGCCCGCGCCGUAUGCUAACCCGCUCGGGCACGGGCUGCCGCGUGGAUACGUGCGGCCAGACCAGGCGCGCAUAAACGAGUUCAUCUCGACGUGGGACAGCAACGCUAGACAGGCGCACGGGGGGGUGUAUGAGCUGCCGCAAGCUGGCAAGGCUAAAAUGGUCGCGAUGGCGCAUAAUUCUGCGUACUUUUACAACUUUGUGCACGUGCCAAAGGCGGGCGGGUCGUAUUUUUCCAUCACCGUCUUGAUGGAAGCCCUGGAGCGCAGCGGUGAGCAUCACGGGUAUCCGUACAAACUCACGCACGAGCCCGUAUCGCACUGGAUCACGCUUCCACAGGUGGAUCUUACGCAGACAAACGUGAAGGAGACGUAUACACAUUUCCAGGAAGGGAAGCCGGAGGGCAUUUUUGGACCCGAAAAUACCAAACAAAUGUAUAAAGAAGGCAAGCGGAUGUUCGGAAAGGGCCAGUUCGGCAUGGGACUGUGCGGAGUUAUUCACGCACCGUGCGUGUACUUGACUGUGUUGCGCGAUCCGGUGGAACGUUACUUGAGUCAUUACAAGUACUCGUGCUUGGCCGGGUCUGAGGGCGCCGCGCAGUGGUUACCCGAGUGGAAAGAACUCGACCGUUGCCCGUUGGAUCCGAUCGAGUUCAUGGACUACCUCGGACCAAACCUGGACUGGACGAUCGAGCUCGCCCCUGGCGCGAAGAACGCGCAAGAGCGCAUGGAGACAGCCAAAAGAAAUCUCGACAGUAACUGCUUGCGAUACCUCAUACUCGAGAAGUACGAAGACGGGUUGGAUAAACUCGGCGCGACGUACGCCGAUUUCUUAUUUUUGAACAAAGAGCCCGCGAAAGAAAGGCACAAAAAAAAAAA